GCGCUCGUUUGGUUUGGCAGCACAGACACUAAAAUGGAAACGAUACAUGGCCCCUACUCAAAGAUGAGACCCAAAUUUGUAAAGCGUUCCAUAUUUUU
ensembl:snRNA RNU6-1247P RNA, U6 small nuclear 1247, pseudogene